UCAGGUAAUGAUGGGAAAUAUAGUACAUGGGGAACAGAUGACAGAGGCAACACAGGCAGAUGGCUAGAAGAACUGAAUAAGUCCAGCAGAAGGCCAGGACAGCAGAGCUGAUCAGGUGGACAGCCACAAACAAACAUUCAACUACUGAACAGAUAUCAGGGCAUUAUAUACACAAAGACUAAUGAGAUAAUUAAACACAGGUGAGGAAUAAUGGGAAACAGCUGGAGGUGAUCAGAUCAGGUAAUGAUGGGAAAUAUAGUACAUGGGGAACAGAUGACAGAGGCAACACAGGCAGAUGGCUAGAAGAACAGAACAAGUCCAGCAGAAGGCCAGGACAGCAGAGCUGAUCAGGUGGACAGCCACGACACCAGAGACACCAGAGCAGGUCCAGUAGACGGCCAGGAAAGUAGAAAUCCACGGUAGAAAACAAUAAUAUAAAGAGGAAAAAACAUCCACGUAGGGCAUGGGCAAAUCACGG